rnacentral:lncRNA from 1 species
GAAGAUCACAUUGAACAACCUGGAGAGUCACUCCACUCCUGACCUACACAUGCAUUUCCAGAACUCCACCAGGAUCUCGUCAGGUCCGGUCGCUCGACCCCUACUCAUCAUAUGCAAAGCCCCCAUGACCUCUUCAGCCAUAAUGCGCCUGCAGUACCCAAGGUCUCUAUGUUGCUCUGAAUGCCCCAACUCCCCUAGCUCUAUGUUACGAUCCCCCUCCUCGUUAAGUAAGUCUCGAAAGUACGCCUGCCACCUCUGCUUGAGUUGAGACUCCCCCAUCAAAACUCUACCAUCCUCUCCCUUGAUGCACCUAACAUGGUCAAGAUCACG